CAGCAGCCGCGGGAAAACGGAGGGUGCAAGCGUUAAUCGGAAUUACUGGGCGUAAAGCGCACGCAGGCGGUCUGACAAGUCAGAUGUGAAAUCCCCGGGCUUAACCUGGGAACUGCAUUUGAAACUGUCAGGCUGGAGUCUUGUAGAGGGGGGUGGAAUUCCAGGUGUAGCGGUGAAAUGCGUAGAGAUCUGGAGGAAUACCGGUGGCGAAGGCGGCCCCCUGGACAAAGACUGACGCUCAGGUGCGAAAGCGUGGGGAGCAAACAGGAUUAGAUACCCCCGUAGUCCUGUCUCUUAUACA
rnacentral:rRNA from 1 species